UACGUAGGGGGCAAGCGUUGUCCGGAUUUAUUGGGCGUAAAGAGCGUGUAGGCGGUUUGUCGCGUCGAAUGUGAAAACCCGGGGCUCAACCCCGGGCCUGCAUUCGAUACGGGCAGACUAGAGUUCGGUAGGGGAGUCUGGAAUUCCUGGUGUAGCGGUGAAAUGCGCAGAUAUCAGGAGGAACACCGGUGGCGAAGGCGGGACUCUGGGCCGAUACUGACGCUGAGGAGCGAAAGCGUGGGGAGCAAACAGG
rnacentral:rRNA from 1 species